AUUGAACGCUGGCGGCAGGCCUAACACAUGCAAGUCGAGCGGCAGCGGGAAAGUAGCUUGCUACUUUUGCCGGCGAGCGGCGGACGGGUGAGUAAUGCCUGGGGAUCUGCCCAGUCGAGGGGGAUAACUACUGGAAACGGUAGCUAAUACCGCAUACGCCCUACGGGGGAAAGCAGGGGACCUUCGGGCCUUGCGCGAUUGGAUGAACCCAGGUGGGAUUAGCUAGUUGGUGAGGUAACGGCUCACCAAGGCGACGGUCCCUAGCUGGUCGGGGAGGAUGAUCAGCGACACUGGAACUGAGACACGGGCCAGACUCCUACGGGAGGCAGCAGUGGGGAAUAUUGCACAAUGGGGGAAACCCUGAUGCAGCCAUGCCGCGUGUGUGAAGAAGGCCUUCGGGUUGUAAAGCACUUUCAGCGAGGAGGAAAGGUUGGUAGCUAAUAACUGCCAGCUGUGACGUUACUCGCAGAAGAAGCACCGGCUAACUCCGUGCCAGCAGCCGCGGUAAAAC
rnacentral:rRNA from 1 species